AUUCCAGCUCCAAGAGCGUAUAUUAAAGUUGCUGCGGUUAAAAAGCUCGUAGUUGGAUUUCAGUCUAGGAAGGUUAACUCGCCGAAAGGUUGUACGUUGAUUUUCCUCAGACUUCGUCAGAAGCUCGUGCUGCACUUAACUGUGUGGUACGAUGUUCUGACCUUUUACCUUGAGGAAAGUAGAGUGUUUCAGGCAGGCUACCCAGCUUGAAUACAUUAGCAUGGAAUAAUGAAAUGGAUCUCGGUUCGAUUUCGUUGGUUCUAGAGCUGAGGUGAUGAUCAAUAGGAACAGGCGAAGGUAUUCGUACUUGAGAGUGAGGAGUGAAAUCCGAUGAUCUCUUAAAGACGAUCCGAGGCGAAAGCAUUUGUCAAGGAUGUUUUCAUUG
rnacentral:rRNA from 1 species